rnacentral:rRNA from 1 species
CCUACGGGGGGCAGCAGUGAGGAAUAUUGGUCAAUGGACGAGAGUCUGAACCAGCCAAGUAGCGUGAAGGAUGACUGCCCUAUGGGUUGUAAACUUCUUUUAUAAAGGAAUAAAACGAGGCACGUGUGCCUUUUUGCAUGUACUUUAUGAAUAAGGCUCGGCUAACUCCGUGCCAGCAGCCGCGGUAAUACGGAGGAGUCGAGCGUUAUCCGGAUUUAUUGGGUUUAAAGGGAGCGUAGAUGGGUUGUUAAGUCAGUUGUGAAAGUUUGCGGCUCAACCGUAAAAGUGCAAUUGAUACUGGCAGUCGUGAGUACAGUUGAGGUAAGCGGAAUUCGUGGUGUAGCGGUGAAAUGCUUAGAUAUCACGAAGAACCCCGAUUGCGAAGGCAGCUUACUAAACUGUGACUGACAUUGAUGCUCGAAAGUGUGGGUAUCAAACAGGAUUAGAUACCCUGGUAGUC